rfam:Glossina fuscipes fuscipes unplaced genomic scaffold Scaffold273, whole genome shotgun sequence.
AGGUCUCACCAUUGGAAGCGUGCUAACGACAACCAGCCUCCGCGAAGUAAUACCUAACGGUGGUCCCGCGGGGGAAAGUGGCAGAAGAACCGUGGGGGGGGGGAGAUAAAUUUUAGUACGUGGAAAUCGUGCAUACUGCUAUUGAAGAACCAGCAGUAUCUUUUGAAGAUUUUCUCUCUCCUGCUCAC